AAAAAGGUAAGCUAAAUAAGCUUAUGGGUUCAUACCCCGUCUAUAAAGAUACAAUUCUUUUCUUUUUA
rnacentral:tRNA from 1 species